rnacentral:tRNA from 1 species
GUUCAAAUAGCUUAUAAUUUAGAGUAUAACAUUGAAGAUGUUAGGGAGAUUUUAAAAUCUUUGAAUA